rnacentral:rRNA from 1 species
UACGUAGGGUGCAAGCGUUGUCCGGAAUUAUUGGGCGUAAAGAGCUCGUAGGCGGCUUGUCGCGUCGAUUGUGAAAGCCCGGGGCUUAACUCCGGGUCUGCAGUCGAUACGGGCAGGCGUAGAGUGUGGUAGGGGAGAUCGGAAUUCCUGGUGUAGCGGUGAAAUGCGCAGAUAUCAGGAGGAACACCGGUGGCGAAGGCGGCUCACUGGCCCGGUACUGACGCUGAGGUGCGAAAGCGUGGGGAGCAAACAGG